rnacentral:rRNA from 1 species
CCUACGGGAGGCAGCAGUGGGGAAUAUUGCGCAAUGGGGGCAACCCUGACGCAGCAACGCCGCGUGAUUGAAGAAGGCCUUCGGGUUGUAAAGAUCUUUAAUUGGGGACGAAAACAAUGACGGUACCCAAAGAAUAAGCUCCGGCUAACUACGUGCCAGCAGCCGCGGUAAUACGUAGGUGGCAAGCGUUGUCCGGAUUUACUGGGUGUAAAGGGCGUGCAGCCGGGAAGACAAGUCAGAUGUGAAAUCCCGCGGCUCAACCGCGGAACUGCAUUUGAAACUGUUUUUCUUGAGUACCGGAGAGGUCAUCGGAAUUCCUGGUGUAGCGGUGAAAUGCGUAGAUAUAAGGAAGAACACCAGUGGCGAAGGCGGAUGACUGGACGGCAACUGACGGUGAGGCGCGAAAGCGUGGGGAGCAAACAGGAUUAGAUACCCCAGUAGUC